rnacentral:rRNA from 1 species
GACAGAGGGUGCAAACGUUGCUCGGAAUCACUGGGCGUAAAGGGCGCGUAGGCGGCCACCGCAAGUCGACUGUGAAAUCUCUGGGCUUAACCCAGAAAGGUCAGCCGAUACUGCGGGGGCUAGAGUGCAGAAGGGGGCAACUGGAAUUCUCGGUGUAGCGGUGAAAUGCGUAGAUAUCGAGAGGAACACCCUGCGGCGAAGGCGGGUUGCUGGGCUGAUACUGACGCUGAGGCGCGAAAGCCCAGGGGGAGCGAACGGGG